GCCCGGUUAGCUCAGUCGGUAGAGCAUCAGACUGUUAAUCUGAGAGUCUUGGGCUCAAGUCCCGUAUCGGGCG
rnacentral:tRNA from 1 species